rnacentral:tRNA from 1 species
ACGUGGCUGGCUCAGUCUGUAGGGCAUGUGACUCUUGAUCUCAGGGUUGUGAGUUCAAGCCCCACGUUGGGUA